rnacentral:rRNA from 1 species
CACGUAGGCGGAUCUUUAAGUCAGGGGUGAAAUCCCGAGGCUCAACCUCGGAACUGCCUUUGAUACUGGGGAUCUCGAGUCCGGGAGAGGUGAGUGGAACUGCGAGUGUAGAGGUGAAAUUCGUAGAUAUUCGCAAGAACACCAGUGGCGAAGGCGGCUCACUGGCCCGGUACUGACGCUGAGGUGCGAAAGCGUGGGGAGCAAACA